ensembl:lncRNA
CAAGACCCCUGGUUGAUAGAGGCUCCGACGUUUGGAGCUGUAUCCCUGAGUCUUAGACCUCCAGCAUCCUGGCAGCAGAGGGGGAGAAUGCAUGGAGAUCUCAUUCCUGUUCGUCUGUGCCCCAGCCUACAGGUGACACGUGUCCCUUCUGUCUCAGUGGUUGCACAGAACAAACUACAGAGGGGCUGGGAUUGGUGGGUUCUACAUAAGGGUUUUACCACUAUCCCCUCCCCCUGACUAUUUAUUUAUUCGCUUAAUUAGCUGGUUCACAGGAACUAGCCGCUCAGCAUCCCCCCACAAGAUGUUGUUGGGGGACUGACAUAGCCUGGUGUCCCUGGAGGCCUGGAACAAUCAAUCAUUGGGAUCAAAGCUGAGUUUUUAAAAAAUCAUGGAAUUUUCAGCUGUUCAUAUUUAAUUCCACAAAAAUGACACCGUAAAACUGGAGAAUUGUUCCCUGAAGGAGUAUUGACCAAAACUCUUCAAAAUAUGAUUCAAGCCUCCUCUUGCAGCUGACUCACGUCUGACUCUCGUCCAGUGCUUUCACGCCAAGGGAGGAUGCUCUGUCUGGUCACCAUCACCGUCAGUUACAUAUACAUGCAGCCAUACACGGAUGACGGAGUUCUCUUGAAUGAACUUGUGUGCCCUUGCCAGGGUCGAGAGGGUCACUUUCUAAGUGACAGCAUACCCGGGACUCGAGUUCCUCUGCCUUCCCCCCUUGCUCCCUUGCUUUGGGGACAUUUUGCCCUCCACCAAAAGGGCAGGAGAGAAGCAGGGGAAACAGCUCAGUUGGAGACAGGCUGACUUCACAGGGUGGUUCUCAGUUGUUUUGUUUUAGUUGGCCUGCUUUGGGGCUGCUUUGGGACACAUGAAGUUCUCCGACCACAAGGCCCUUUCCAGACCCGAUUUCCCCUUGGAAUGACACGUUAUCCUCCCUUCAAAUGUGGCAAUUGUAAAUUCCUGCCUGGGGAGCAGCAAUUGCUUUGAAUUACACACUCCUUGAAUAAACCUGUAUGGGAUUAACAAGGCCUUAUUGUUCUGCGAUCGUUUGCUGGAACUUGCUAUAGUAAUUUCUGGUGACGUUAUAUUUCCCUGCCUAGCAUUUGACUAUGCAAAGGAACACUUUUUCCACACUUUAAUUGGUCCCUUUUAGUUGUAUGUAAUAAAAACCUCCUUUUACCAUUUUACCAACGCUGAACAGGAAGAAAUAAUACUAUCAGGUUUUUUUCCAUUCACUUUUUUCUCUCUCUCUCCUCUUUGGCAUCAUUAAUUUCCCAGAUUCGUGGUGCCCAAAAUAUUACUUCAUGACUGCUAUUUACACAUGCAAGUACGCACACUGUACACACACAACUGAGGAUGCUCUCCUUUACAAUAUGCGUACGUGCUAUUUUAAAAAUAGCCCUCAGGAGCACAGUAUAAAAUCAGUCAGUGUCCCUGGUUUGUGACACAACUCUCAUCAUUGGCGUGGAAAUGCUGUUCUAACAGGUUUGUAUGACGACUCAAGGAAACAAUUUACAUUUACUCUGUUCAAUUUUUUUUUUUUUUUUUUUAGAUUUUUUAAUUUUUCCUUUUUCUCCCCAAAGACCCCUGGUGCAUAGUUGUGUAUUUUCAGUUGUAGGUCCUUCUAGUUGUGGCAUUUUGGACGCUGCCUCAGCAUGGUCUGAUGAGCGGCGCCAUGUCCGCACCCAGGAUUCAAACUGGUGAAACCCUGGGCCACCAAAGCAGAGCGCAUGAACUUAAC